rnacentral:rRNA from 1 species
UCGGGAAUUUUGGGCAAUGGGCGAAAGCCUGACCCAGCAACGCCGCGUGAAGGAUGAAGUAUUUCGGUAUGUAAACUUCGAAAGAAUAGGAAGAAUAAAUGACGGUACUAUUUGUAAGGUCCGGCUAACUACGUGCCAGCAGCCGCGGUAAUACGUAGGGACCAAGCGUUGUUCGGAUUUACUGGGCGUAAAGGGCGCGUAGGCGGCGUGGUAAGUCACUUGUGAAAUCUCCGAGCUUAACUCGGAACGGUCAAGUGAUACUGCUGUGCUAGAGUACAGAAGGGGCAAUCGGAAUUCUUGGUGUAGCGGUGAAAUGCGUAGAUAUCAAGAGGAACACCUGAGGUGAAGACGGGUUGCUGGGCUGACACUGACGCUGAGGCGCGAAAGCCAGGGGAGCAAACGGGAUUAGAUACCCAAGUAUUCCCUGAGCGGGCUGGCAAGGCGCAU